CAGCUACUUCUGCCCAGGAAGAGAGGCAGCAAAUAUUAUAUUCAGUACACACAGAAGAAAUUCCACCUACCUUCGGAAGUGAUGCUCGUGAGCCUGAGCUUUGUGUUGUCAUGGUCAGUACAGUUGUUAUGCCUAAAGCCACUCUGGCUGGAGCUGCAUCCAUAUUGAUCCAAAAUGACACCCAGGAGAGAAUCACGAUCAAGAGACUUGGCCCAGGGAUUUUUCUGCACCUGCCAGUCCUGCCAGGAGCUGAUGGAAUUACACUGACUUUGGGAUUUCCUCCUCAGCUGUAGUGUGCUUCCCAGCCAAGACUUCUGUGUUCCUCCUCUCCUCUGUUCCCAAGUAGUGCUGAAGAAUUAACUUAAUAGGAGGCAACUUCCCAGGAAGAUAGAUGGCUACCCAAAUAGAAACCCUUCUGUUUCUGCACAGAUUACUGGGCUUUCCCAUCCAUGAGAGACAUAAGAGAAAAAAAGCAGCAGACUGAAGUCAGUCUCAGCAGAGACCAUUUGCAGCAGUUCUUGGUCUAAGCAUGGAAAGCGUAUUGUUAGUUCUUGCCCUUCCUGGCUGAGAUCAGAACCACCUACAUAAACUUGGCUGAUGAAGCAGAAUGGAAAUAUAGCUUUCGCACUAGCAGAUGUGAGCUUCAGAGGCUGUGCUGUUUUUUCCUAGCUGAAGCCAUCAUCCAGUUGUGAGCUCCUGUUCUUUCCCUGUCCCUUGUCCCUUUGCCUCCUGUACCUUAGAUAUUUACAGACAUUGAUCAGACCCUCUCAAUUCAGGUUCUCACUAAAGCAACCUGUUCCAGCGUGCUGUCAUUCUGACAGUAAAGUUCUUCCUUGUGUUAGUAUGGAAAUUCUUAUGUUCCAGUUUCAACCCCAAAAGGUUGCAGAUCCAGGGGUUAUAAAUCACUACUAAAAUCUCAGAAACAGUGUCUUAGGUAAUUGUCAAAAAGCAUGAGGGUUUGAGUUCUUGUUGACAGAGGAAAGCAUCAAAGCUUGGUUCUCCUUCUUUAGGCACUGUCAUGUUAGUAGCAAAAGGACCCAAUGUAAGACAUGGUCAGUAGUAGCUGUGACCUAGAAGAAGCACAGUCUGCAGGUUGUUAAGUGAUUUAUUUGGCUUUAAGAGGAAAGAAAGACAACCAUGGGAAAAAUUGUGUAUGGACUGCAUAUGUUGAGAAGUUGAAUAGGUUGAAUGGGGAAGAUGAAGUUAAAGAAUUUGGCAGGUGACCAAGAUUGCAGAUUUACCAAAUUAGAGAUACAGAGACAUUAGAAACGGUCUCUUACAGAAUCUAUCAGUUCUGCUGGUGAAAAAUAGCCAUGCCUGUGCAGUUUCCAGGAUUGCUACAAACAACACUUUGAGUGAAAAAAAACCCCAAACCAAUCUAUAGACAACACAGUUCAGAAUAUUUUUAAUCAGGAUUAUGAUUAGUAUAGUAUCUGUGGUGAUGGAAUUAUUCAAAUUUCAUUUGUGCUUGCUAGACAAUGUUCAUUAUGUAUGAAUUUGUCUAUGUAUGUUGGUCUGUGCAGCUACUGGUACUUGCAGUUGAAAACUGGGUGUUCCAUGAAAGCCCAGCAUGCAUGUGACACAGUCAGGGUAAGGCAGGACCAUCCUUGGAAUGUGAGAAGUCACAUACGACUUUUCUGGCUAUAGAAUUUCACUUCAUUUUCUAAAUUUGUCACUGUAGACAUGCCAGAGGAUGUAAAAACAGAUAAAAAUGAUCAUAAAUAUCAUUGCAUCAAUUCAAACACAAGACUUCAUGAGCCAUUAUGCUGUGCUGUUGCUGAAACUCUUCCAUCCCUAUACUUGAAGAACUUUAUAUAUGUUAUUUUUAAGCUACAGUUACAGCAAUCCAUUCUCAAUUGGACAUGAAACUCUAAUGAGGGCAUGCACUGAUUAAUUCUUACAUACUGUCCUGAAGCUUCAAGUUAAUUAGUUUCACAGGAAGAUUUUUAAAUAUUUCUUUCUGUUCUACAGAAUGUCUCUCAAAAGCUUUCUAUCCUAUGUUGCACCUAAACUUAAACAGGAAAAUUAUAUUUGGUCACAUGAAAUAAAUUACAUGGGAGUUUCUUGUGGAGUAUUCUAAAAGGAUAUCUGUCUACGGGGUAUGUGCUCAACCUUCUAAAUUUUUGUUGUUGUUGCUAUCUUUCACUUAUGUGUUAAUAAACAAUAGUAAAAAAAAAAAAGAUGUUUUGCUACCUAUACACAUUAAUUAUAUUAUAUAUUUUAUCCAUGGCUCAAGACAAUUUCUCUUCAGUCAGUGUAGCCAUGGCAAGCCAAAAGGUUAGAGACUCAUGGUCAUGGCUCAUAGGUUAUGAAGAAAAAGGUGUAAGCUCAAAAAUGCUGAAAAAAUAAAGCUUCUCUCAAAGUCAAAGGUUGAAACUGUGAUGAUUUUAAUGAGAGUUCUCAGGCAAACUAUC